UAAAAGAAUUUUUGGACGUGGACAACCAGUGUCAGGAUAUAAGAAUGUCCUUGACUGAAAUGAUAAGGUCGGCUUUAGACAAUGGGGAGGAUGCGCUGAGAAAACUUCACGAAAGG